UACGUAGGGUCCGAGCGUUGUCCGGAAUUACUGGGCGUAAAGAGCUCGUAGGUGGUUUGUCGCGUUGUUCGUGAAAACUCACAGCUCAACUGUGGGCGUGCGGGCGAUACGGGCAGACUGGAGUACUGCAGGGGAGACUGGAAUUCCUGGUGUAGCGGUGGAAUGCGCAGAUAUCAGGAGGAACACCGGUGGCGAAGGCGGGUCUCUGGGCAGUAACUGACGCUGCGGCACGAAAGCUAGGGGAGCAAACAGG
rnacentral:rRNA from 1 species